rnacentral:lncRNA from 1 species
CUUGAGCUUCAAAUGAAUCUUCUUUUCCAAAACUUCAUGUUUAACUCUUCAAGACUCCACUCGAUUUUACGAAAUUCGCCAACCUAGAAAAUUCUUAGCAAUCUCCCCCUUUGGCGAUUUCGUGACAAAACAUAUUACAUUGCUCGUUCAAAAAUCAGAAACUGUAAAAAGAAGAUCGUCGCAAUCACCAAACGACAAUCUCCUGCAUGAUCGAUCCAACAAAAGAAAAAUUACAUUUUUCUCACAAUCCUAAUACAAACUUUAUGACUUAGACAUG